GACGAACGCUGGCGGCAGGCCUAACACAUGCAAGUCGAGCGAGCGGCGGACGGGUGUGUAAUGUAUGGGGACUGCCCGAUAGAGGGGGAUAACUACUGGAAACGGUGGCUAAUACCGCAUACUAUCGGAUAACCCAUAUGGGAGUAGCUAGUAGGUGGGGUAAAGGCUCACCUAGGCGACGAUCUCUAGCUGGUCUGAGAGGAUGAUCAGCAAAACUGGGACUGAGACACGGCCCAGACUCCUACGGAGGCAGCAGUGGGGAAUAUUGCACAAUGGGCGAAAGCCUGAUACAGCCAUGCCGCGUGAAUGAAGAAGGCCUUAGGGUUGUAAAGUACUGUCAGCGGGGAGGCGGUACCCGCAGAAGAAGCACCGGCUAACUCCGUGCCAGCCGCCGCGGUAAUAC
rnacentral:rRNA from 1 species